ensembl:lncRNA
AUAAUUUGAUCCUCAGCAUUAUUAUUAUACAUAAUAAUGUUAUCCUCAUUAUUAUUAUUAUUAUACAUGCAUAAUAAUAAAAAGGAUCACAUAAUGACAUUAUUAUUCAUAAUAAGAUGAUCCUCAGCAUUAUUAUUAUACAUAAUAUGAAUAUGCUCCUCAUUAUUAUGAUACAAAAUAAAAAUAAAGUGAUCCUCAUUAUGAUCAGCCUUAACGUCCAAAGAGGUGGGCCGCAGGGCCCCGAGAGGGGGGUGUAGAGGGGGUUGGUUAGCCCCUAGAGGGGGCUGUAGAAGGGGGACGCAGGGUGUGGCCCCCAGAGGGGGGUGUAGAGAGGGGCCUCAGGUCCCCUAGAGGGGGGCAUCAGGGUGUGGCCCCUAGGGGGGAUGUAGAGGGGGGCUUCAGGGUGUGGCCCCUAGGGGGGAUGUAGAGGGGGGCUUCAGGGUGUGGCCCCUAGGGGGGGAUGUAGAGGGGGGCUUCAGGGUGUGGCCCCUAGGGGGGCGUUUAAAGGUGGGCCUCAGCUGUAGAGGGGGGCUGCAGGGUGUGGCCCCCAGAGCGGGCUGUAGAGGCACCACCAAUCAAGCGCUCUCCUGGGCCUCACAGGUGUCAGUCCCUCUCAGCUCCAGAUGGCUCCUGGUUCUGAGCCAGUGGGACAUGGCUUCCCUCUUCUGCUCCACUGGUGGAAGAAGACGAGCAGAAGUCAGUGUUUCAGUAAGUUCAGACCGGCGUCUCCGCGGGCGUCACACGGGCGUCGUUGAGGGUCAACCAUCCGGCGCCGUCCUCUCGUGCUACGUCACUGACGUAGUGGCCUGGGGGACACAAGACAUCCAUUACCUUACUGUCCCCCAGCGUGGGACGGGUCUAGUGUCUGACGCGUGUGUCAGCUCUCUCCCUGGCCCCUCUCACCCCAUGAACUUCCUGAAGACCUCUGUCCCUGUCUCCUGCACUGUCAAGAUGAUCCACUGCUGCUGAGAAACACACCAACAAUCCUGUUUUGUAAACAACUGAAAAACUCAAGCGGUUGGGCAUGAGAUAGGAAUCCAUCACUUUUUUCUUACCCAUGUUUGCACUUGGUUUUGCUCCAGAUGCGAUUUCCCCCUCUCCAUAACUUGAUCUACAACACAUUCCAUACAUAAUGAUUAAUCAGAUAUUGAGGAUCGUAAAUUAAACACUAAAAUGGUUGCGUGAGGUCCUCUAUAAGAGGCAGGGGAGCUUAUGGCCGGAUUACCAAUCUAGAUUCAUCUGACUCUGUUUCAAUGACGCCCACCACUCCCAACCCGCCCAAUCUGUUUCCAUGAAGCACAACGCACUGCCUACCGUCGUAGUCUGUUUCCUUAUCUCUUACCUCAGUGGGUCUAUCCCAGCUGCACCACCCUGCUCUCCAACGAGGGAGGCCAGAGACAGCCAUGGAGGAACGCUGACAGCAUCGGUCACCUUCCUCAACCGUGCCCCGUCAUGGUGGAAGCGCUUCAUGUGAAGGAGUAACACUCUGUGGACACAAACGGUUCAUCGUCCGAUCGCUGCAUGCACACACGCGCCCGUACGUAUGAAAAGGCUGCUUCAAGGCAACAUUGGAGACAACAGACUCAAGUUCAUGGCUCACCUGGGCAGAGUGAGGAAAUGCCGAACCGCUGUUGCCUGGCAUCCAGAGCACUGCCGGCAGGUGCACUCCAACUCUGAAGGCUGAGGGAAAGUGCUCUGUGAGUAUCAGUGGACCAGCGUAAUCGGACACACCAACACAACGGUGUACUGACUUUGAAGUAGAAUUGGAGGCCAGCUAUCAACGACGGGUGGAGGUCCAAGGACAAGUGGUUCUGCUCCUCCUCCUGGAAGACCUUGUCACCGCAGCUUUUAAGACGGGCAGAGAACAGAAAAUCACCAUUUGAACACAGCAGACCAGAUCAUGAUGCCAAAAGUGUUGGCGUAACAUUGAUUGACUCUGAUUUCCAUCAUUCAAUGAUGGAGGAACUAUAGUAGUAUUAUGCGACAACAAUAAUACGUUCGAUGAAGUCAAGCGUUACCUGGUGCAGGUGCGUACACACUGCAGUCUGAACUCAAAGUUCUGGACGGGGCAGAUAUAGCUGGGUGACGUGGAGAUCUCCUGCAGUGUCUCACCUUCCAUCUUCAUCUUCAUGAAGAGGAGGAGCAGGAACUCAUGAGCAUCCUGUCAGAAACCAGAAGUUCAGUUGACAUGUGUUUAAUCCUCAACAAGCGCAUAAGCCAAGAGAUAAGGACUCAUCAGCUGUACCUGCUCAGUGAUAUGCUCGUACUCCUCGUUGAACUCUGCCAGACUGCUCUUGAUGGACCAAAGGAGCCGGCGCUUGCCUUUGUAGGAGCCCUCACCCUGCCGGGAUUUAUAUAGCUCCCCCAAGUACCUGGAGAACAGCAUACGAAAAGACCAAGUGCAUUUAGUAUACCUACUGUACUUAAUAUUGUACAGUGGAGCAUUCACUUUGUCAGUAAAUCGUCCAAGCUGUACUGUAGUUUGUGAGGGCUAUGGUUCUGGUUCUCCUCUAAUGUGAGGGCUAAGGGUCUGGUUCUCCUCUAGUGUGAGGGCUAAGGGUCUGGAUCUCUACUGGACCUCAGCAGCUUCAGCUUGGUUCUUCUCCGGGGGCUCCAGAGGUCCUCCUGCCCCGUGAUGUCACUGCAGAAGCAGGGCAGGCUGUAGAGACACUGCAGGGACGCGUUCAGGAAGCAGCUGUUUCCAAUGUUGGGCAAGCUGAAGAAAACACAUACACAUCAUUAGUCAAUGUACCAGCCCGGAGUAUAUAGUCGUGAUGAUUAGGUUUUAAAGAAGAGACAACCAAUGUUUGGGAAAGUGUAAAUCUCUACAAAUAUAACCAGAACUCCUUAAACUAUGGACUAUAAGGGGGUGAAGGCAUCAGCGGCCCCAAACAGGCUGGUUGUAUUCAUGUUUAUUCUCUAAAGAACCAGCUCAAGAGAUGUCUUUCCUGUCUCUUACCCAAGGGCCUCCUGGUGUUGCUGGGUCUUGCUCCUACCAGAGGAGGCCCGCAGCCGGCUGACCUCGUCCCUCUGAGGCUGACUGCAACACACAGGGACGAGGGGAACAGAGAGGGAAACACAGCAAUGAGGAGGAUAGUCACGUCACGUAUAAGCAAAACGGACUCAUUCAUUCAUCGAUUUCUAUCUGAUGUCCAAUCCUGUGCUGAUGGAUCUCCCUGAUGCAAUCAGCAAAGGUUGGCUCCUGCUGUCAUACCACUGCAGAGAUGAGAAGCGACGAGGCCGGGAGAACUCUGAGGACCGACCACCACCACGGUUAAGACAAUAAUAGUUGAUCUGUGGGACAUGCUGUCUACUCAAUGGAGGACUGCUUCAAAGUACCUGUUGUCUGGGCAGGAGGCCCAGUGGGGUCCACCUCAUUGAGCUCACUCCCAGCUACUGCAGGUACCCUGAAACGCACACAUUCAUCAAGGUCAACUGAGGAUGGGGGCUGAUGUUUUAAGGACAAAUAAAAAGCAGGAAUGCAAAUUGAAAAGUUAGAAACAUGGAUGAGUCAUUUUUGGCAUAAUUUCACCGGCGGUGAACUUAAUGCUACUUGUUACCUACAUUUGAUUCCCCAGUACAUCCUCAUCAGGCAGGGUGGUGUCCUCUGAGGUCCCUUUGCUGCUCUGCUCACCGACAUCUGAUGACCGUCCUGGUGGGGAGGAGACAUCUCUGCUGCUAGGGGUGAUGACAUCUGGAAGGUCCAGGAUUCCUGUUGGAGAGAGAGAGGAGGGGGGGGAGGGAGAAAGAGACACAGUUAUUGGGGAGAUACCAGAGGACAGAAGAACAGGAACAGGGAACGGAACAGGGGAGGAUGGGGCC